rnacentral:lncRNA from 7 species
UUUUACCAAGCUACAACAGGUGAUGCCAUGCAAACUUGACAGCUUCCAAUCCUAUCUAGCACAGUGAGAACUGCUAUUUUGCCUGUGUCUUUGUGACUCCAAAUACUCAGCAGAACAACUCUUACCUCAGCACUCACCAUGAGGAUACCCUGUUUCCUGACCCAAGUGGGUUCACGUGAGACCAGGUGCUGAUGGUCAUGGGCAGAAGCAGACUAAGCACCUCCCUGUACUAAUCUAGGAGAUUGAUCUUUUCUGCUGCUUGCCAGUAUAAAUAUACCCUUUGUGUCUUGAACCUUACCUUUGUAUUUCACAAAAAAAUCUGAAACUUUUAGAAAGUUUUUGUUCUGUGACCAAGAAAGUCUACUUUGUGAAGAAAAAUACAUGCAGGAUCAAGCUGUUUGAAGGCUGCUGAGUUAUUCAGGCUCUGCUGACCAGGGCUGAUGGGUUAUGAGACAGCACUGCCCUUGCUUGCACAGUGCUGCAGGGUGAGCUCAUUCCCACUGCAGAGCUAUACCACGUGCGUCUUUUCCCCCCACUGUAUGAGGAGCCAAAUAUGAAAAAAUAAGUCAUUCUAGUGUAUAUAGUCUCCAAAUAUAUGUUGCUAAAGCUUUACUAAAGUCUUGGAUGUUUCACAAAUAUUAAGUCAUGAGAAACUUUUAUCUGUGGCCAAACAUACCAUAUUAUUUAAACAGUUAUCUCCCUUGCUUUGAAGUCUGCUAUUUCAACACACCAGGCAGUCUGAUUAUCUCUGAGCUGCAUCAUUUAGCAGGCAAAUAGCUUCUCUGUGACAAAACAUAGCAAUCCCAUUGGUAUGAAAUGAUGGAUAGAAUUGCAUUAGGCUAUAAAACAAUUACCUCAAAUCCAUAUUUUCAGGUUGCUUAUACUAGGAUCACAAACACAACCAGCUUUUCACCCUUAUCUGCUGAGACUAACAACUUAUACUGUCACAUUCUGCCUGCACCAGUUUGUCCUUAAAUAUGCUGGCUGCUGUCAGUGUCAAGCAAGGCCCUCAGCCUCAGUAUGUGCACUGUGUUACGGGUUUCAACUUUGCUUCUGGUUACACACUGAGUCCUCCAAGAGUGGUGACUUUGACAUGUGGAUAAAUACAAAGGGGUUUGGCCGUGGCUCCUUCUGUCUAGAUGUAGAUAUUUCCAAGGGGAAAAAUUGUUUUUAAAUAAUUAUUUUUCAUAUAACUAGGAAGAAAGUGAUCAGCUAGAGGUUUUAGCUGUGUUUUUGUUGUUUUUGUCUCCUCAGUAAGACACUGUUCCUUUUCAGUGAACAGAGGCAGGCUGAUGCCUUCCACCAAUUUGUAGCUGACUGCCUCAGUUACUGAAGAUAAGACAGAAUAAAUAAU